CGUUUGCUCCCCUCAGGAGCGGCGGCGCUCGCCGGUGACGGCGCACCCCGGUAGUCCAUGGCCUGUGUAAUGCCAAGGAACACGUCCAGGGAUUUACUUGUACGGACGUGGAAGUGCUCGGAGUGCUGGCAGUUCCACCAGCGCUUCAUAGAACCGUCAGGGCUGGAAAGGACCAUCGAGUCCAACCGUACACCCAGCCCUGCUGCUGUCAUUUCUAUUUUCAACAUAUUUUAUUUAUCUAUUUAUUUAUUUUUACUAAGCCAUCUUUCUACUGUGCCUCCUUACAUAUUUGUAUAUUUGCUUAGUUUGAGGGUUAAAUAUUUUCAGUUACAAUUAUUCUGCUUUACAAGCCCUUCCACCUGCACCGAUAAUUUCCUGCUAUUCAGUAGCCAGUUUUUAUUAAAUGUUCGUACUUGGCUUGAGUGGUGUCCUGGUUCACUCCAACCAUCCAAAACGCUGUCUUCACAGUCCCCGUGGGCUGCAGCCUGCUGAGUGAUGCUUUAUAAUAAAUACAACAGGUCUAAUAUCUGCCAGCUAUUCCAGCGUGGACAUGUGUUGCAGGAUUAGUGUCCAAGAUAGUUUCUUGUCUUUUUUAUGGGUUUCACAAAGAGACAAGGACAUGCUUGUUCCUCCCUUGGGAUGUCUGUAAGGAUACAUGGCACAGUAGUUUUACUUUAUCAGGUUUUGGUGCCACAGAACUUGUGAUGGUCAGUUCCCAGUAAGAAAAGGAAGCUGCAUCUACUUUCUGAUGAAUUCAUGACAAUUCUUGGUAGGAACUUGUUAUCAAAAUAGUUCAGGGAGGAAAUUCCAAAAGUGGGGUUUUUUUUCUGUAACUUGGCUGGCCGUCAUCUGCUAAGGAAGCCCCAGCAGGCGAAUAAUCCUUGCCAGCAGUGAAACGUUGAACAGCAGCACACUUUGUCUUUCCUAGUCUGUCCCUCAGAUCUUUUCUUUUUAAUUUUAAACAUCUUUUUAACGUGCUCUUUGGUAUUUUGCUAGACUUCUGCAAUUAAAUACAAUACACUUUUUUUUUUCCUCAUGCAGUAACAAAGAAUUGUUGCUUUUCUAUUCAUGUAUAUCUACCUUUCAGUUGCUGCACAUCAAAUUCAAAUUCUGCAAUAUUUGUGACCACAAAUUGAAUCAGAAUGCUGAACAGCUGCUGAAGCUUUAUGUUUCUUUGGUUCUAAACUUGACAUCCCUGCUGCUGAAGCUUUGUGAAGUGACAGGAAGCGUUAAAAAUCUGUGGAGAUUUUUUUCUCUGAUAAUUAAACUGACUUAAUGUUGUGGCUAAUUUGGCCUAUUGGGAAUGCAGAUUUACUGACUGGAGCUACUGCAUUACUGGGCUGUGCUUCUGAUCCUUUGGGCCCAACUCUGGCAGAGCAUAAACCCAGUACAAAAGUCACUUGUUUCAGUGCAAUUUUACUAGCAGCUUUACUAACCAGUAAAGACUGGUUUCAGAAAUUGUCCCCUUGAUAGAAAAGUGGAUUUUGGAUGUCUGCCCUUUCCUGAACACAAGGAGCCAUCAGCAUAUCAAAUGUUUUUGUUGGAUUUUGUUGCAAAUGCCAACAUCUAAAGUUACUGUGCCAUUGUUGCUUUGGUUAUAGUGCUGAAUUAUUCAAUAAGAUCAUCCACUGCCCUUCAUUUUAGAAGAUCUCUUUCACUAUUAAUUAUUAAAAGCUGUACCUCCACUUUCUUAAUUAAUGCUGGUGUUUCUUAUUAAAGGACCCAGCUCCUACAUCCUGUCAUGGGUGGGAAGUACCUUUUACAUGUUCACUGCUUCAUGUUCAGGUGGAAACCAUCACCUCAUCAAUGGAAAAUGGAUAUCAUCUGCUGAAUGCCCUUCCAGGUGAUUCCCUGGGAGAAUUCCAAGAAAUUUUAAGAAGCAGAAAUCCUAACCCUUUAUAAGUACAUAGCAGAACAGAAGAGGAUGGUUUGACCUGGACCUUGUAUGGUGGAAGUGUAAGGGAAGGGAGAAAAGCUGGGCAUUACGAAGGAAAUUUGAGCACCAAGGUUCUGAUGUUAAGAACCCCUCUGCAAGAGGGCUGGAGAAGCAAACAGGAAUGAAAGAAGAAUAAAGUGGGUUUUAUACUGUAUUUUUUUAAAGAAAGUAAGUGAAGAAUCCUUCAAAUAGAGUAUUCUUCAAAUAGAGUGUUUGCUGUAUCCUUCAAACAGAGUAUUUGCAGUUACUGUGCUUUACAGAGUGUACACUGAAAUCUAAGCAAAUCUAAAGGGAUCUGGUGUGACUGUAAGAGGGGCAACACAGGGGAGUGUUACAUAAGUGCUGUUUAGUGCAAGAAGGGACAACACGUGACCUUGAAUGAUGCAGGGAGGCUGUGUGCCAGCUGCAGGGACACCAAGAGGGGGCUGAAGCAAUGGCUUUGGUGCCUGCCUCAGCCCCUGGGAAAGGGGGGAAUCCCCUUUCCUUCCUCCAAGCGAGGGGCUGCAGGAUGUGUCUCAGGCUCUUCAGCAGCGUGGGAGAGCAGACAGCUCUGAUUGCAGGUUCAGAAGUUUAGCUGAGUGUGACAAAAUGCUUUCCCAGUCUUCCUGGAAAUCUGGGCCAACCUGUGAGGUUGAGGGAAGAGAAAUUUGAUGUUCAGGAUGUUUCUCCCUGCUGGUGAUGUUCCAGAGCAGUUUGCAGAUUCCCUGCAGUCCUGUGGGAUGAAGGGUGCUGAAUAGCACUCAAAUCUUGUAACACCAUCAGCAGAAGAGCUGUGCCGAGUGGGACAGGCAGAGGGAAAACAAGCACGUCCCCUUCGUCCCCUAAUCCGGAUCUCCUCCGAUGAGCACUAAGGACACUGCUGUCCCAGCAUGGCCUCUGGGGCCCCAGGGCAGCAGGGAGCAGUGCUGAGGGAAUAACGUUGGUAAACUGGAAAGGAGCACCUGAACCCCCUGCUAGUGUGUUGUGUGAUGUGAGCUACCAGGCCUCUGUGGGAGGAAACUGAGGCUGUCACCGUGCUGUUAAUCAGAUUCCAGCCAGGAAAAAAUAGCAAGUGAGCUAUUUUAGUCAUCCAGGACACCAGUGCAGUGGCUCUGUGAGAGGUACCAAAUAUAGAUUACAUGCACAGCCCAGGAGUGCUCGCCUGCCUGAGUCGUGUCUUCUGCAGGUGUUGGCAUAACUGCCCCUCCUGGGAUUUGUUUUCAUUUACAUGAAGCUGUAAAAGCCCAUAUGGCUGGUAAGGAGCAAGAACUAACUUUUACUUAAAAAAUCAUAGCAAAAACAAAACCAAAAGCCUGGUGGAAAAGUGGAAGAAGUAAACUCUUGGGGUUUUUUCCCCCCUUCAAAAUCAAAAGAUGUGGCUUUUUUUGGAAAACACGUACUUAUGUAAUUUGCCCUAAUUUUGGUUCUUAAUAACCAGCAUAGCUCAAUGAGAGCUGAAUGGUUGCUGCAAUUAACCCAUGUAAUGUUAUAUGUGUCUCUUUUUGAGAAAGGACUGCUUUGUCCCAGCCCACAAGACUUAUUUUAGAUAAUCACCAUUUUUAAGUGCAAAUGUGAUUUUAAAGGUAGUUAUUCUUGUCCAUGAACAUGACAGAAGUUAAAAAGCCUGUGGCAGUGCCUCGGUUAAGGGCAUGCUUGGGAACAACAGGUUUUAUUCUCCAAAUGCUGUUCAGACAAACCUGGCAUGACUGAUUCACCACGUGCCCCCCACCUGCAGCCACUCUAUGCUGAGCCCACUGGUUCUGGUAGGUCACAUUUUGAGGAAGGGGUUCAGAAAUCAGAGUUCAGCAACCCUACACCCUUGCAUUAGUGAACAUAAAGGAUUGGGUCACCUUUUCUUGCCCCUUGCUUGCCUUGAAGUGCUGGCCUGUCACUGCUGAAGGAUACAAGGUGCCUUGAAAUAAAGCUGUGCUGCUCAAAUACAGACACAAAGCAGAUUGUUUCUUGCUGCUGAUGAAAUACCAAAGCUGCUUGUCAGUGCCCUGGCCCAGGAACCAACCCCGGGGAGCUGUGCUGGCAGCAGGAGCCCCACGAAGAGCUGCAGCAGCCACCCUCAGCCCAAGUGUUUCCUGGAGUGGGGAGGAAGGGCCUCCAACACUCCCUGGUCCAUCAGCCCCUCAGUGCUGCUUGCUCGGUGCAUGGGUGCUUGUUCUGGUCAGAGCUCUGCCUCUUAAACUGUGGAUUAUGGCAGCACUGAAGGAAAACACGAUUCCCACACCCACCCAUUUAUGAGGCAUUGUUUAAUGCUACCUUGUCACUAAAUGGACUGGGAAGGGAGAAGGUUUUUAAAGACUUGAGAAAAUGGCUCUAUAUUGCUUUAAGAGCCACCCUUGUGAAAAAAUCUUAACUGUACACACACACAAGACCACCUACUCCCUCCCUCUCCCAAGUGUGGUCAUGGACUGGACCCUGGGAUAUCAUAGGGGUUCUCACGUGGCAGGUGCUGGUUUCCCUGGGUGUCAAAUGCCUUCCUUGCUCAGCCAGCCUGCAGCAGCCACAGGGAUGAGGUUGGGGAGUUUUCCAUCACUCCUUUUGGCACAGGUCUGGCUGCUGGGUUUGGGAUGUGCUGGCCAAGCAGAAAAAAGGGAUGCUGGCACAGCAGGUCAUCACUUUCUUGGGGGUAAAUCUCUAUCAGCCAAAGCUGUUGAAAACAAUGCAGGGAGCGUCAGCUCAAUGAUGGUUUGUGAUCUGUGGGAUUACUGACUGCAGUGGGCUGGAAACUCCCUUUGCACAGGGCUUGACAUAGUUAGACAAGCCUGCAAUGCAGUAAGGUAGCUGGAGCAACACAGGAAUAGGAACUUUGUCAGAUUCAUAACCAGCACUUUAACCAACCUCACUGUUGCAUCAUCCCAAGGAUGAUGUGGUUUCUCUCCUAGAGAGCAUUUGUACACCAGAGGAAUGUUUUAAAUGUAAUU